rfam:Schistosoma rodhaini strain Burundi genome assembly, scaffold: SROB_scaffold0002613
AUCCAUCUGACGAGUCCCAAAUAGGACGAAGUGCGCGUCAACAUGGAU